rnacentral:lncRNA from 1 species
CCAGGAUGUUCAUCUGGUUUGUCCAGAAGCUGGAGACGGUGCUGCCACAGCCAGUGACCAGGGGGAAGCAGGACACACAGGGAGUGGCCUCAGCAACCUUGAGUCCCGUGGAACAAAUUCAUAUCCCCCCUGGGGAACCCGAGGAGACCCACCUCAUCCUGGAAGAGAUCACUGAUGACCAGGUUAAUGAAGACACAUGUGAGAUGAUGGCCUGGAGUCACAAGGCUGAGCCAGAGGCAGAUGCUCGUUCCCUUCCCCCCAUACAGGAGGAACCUCAGGAAGAAGAAGAAAACAGACUGUGGUUGAGCUCCCUAAGCACUACCAAGGAGGAAAAGGAGGAGGAAAAGAAGGAGGAGGAAGAGAAGGAAAAAUGGGAGGAGGAAGAGAAGGAGCAGGAGGAAGAGAAGAAAAAAUGGGAGGAGGAAGAGAAAGAGCAGGAGAAAGAGAAGAAGGAAGAGGAGAAAGAGGAGGAGGAAGAGAAUAAGAAGGCAGAGGAGAAGAAGGUGGAGGAAGAGAAGAAGGUGGAGGAAGAGAAGGAGGAGGAAGAGAAGAAGGUGGAGGAAGAGAAGAAGGAGGAGGAAGAGAAGAAGGUGGAGGAAGAGAAGGAGGAGGAGGAAGAGAAGAAGAAAGAGGAGGAGGAAGAGAAGGAGCAGGAGGAAGGGAAGAAGGAGGAGGAGGAAGAGAAGGAGCAGGAGGAAGGGAAGAAGGAGGAGGAGGAAGAGAAGAGGGAGGAGGAGAAGAAGGAGGAGGAAGAGAAGAAGGUGGUGGAGGAGGAGGAGGAGAAGAAGGUGGAGGAGGAAAAGAAGCAGGAGAAGAAGGAGGAGGAAGAGAAGAAGGUGGAGGAAGAGAAGGAGGAGGAAGAGAAGAAGGAGGAAAAGAAGCAGGAGGAGGAAGAGAAGAAGAAGGAGGUAGAGAAGAAGAAGGAGGAAAAGAAGAAGGAGGAGAAGAAGAAGAAGGAGAAGAAGAAGGAGAAGAAGAGAAAGAAAGAGGGGGAGAACAGGAAAGAGGAGAAGAGGAAAGAGGAAAAGAGGAAAGAGGAGGGGGAGGAGAGUGCAGAGUGAGUGUCUCCCGUUGCCUUAAUGGCUUUGUUGGAAAGGAGCGUGAACGCAGCUGUUGAUUCAACUGC